GAUGGACAGGGAGGCCUGGCGUGCUGCAAUUCAUGGGGUCGCAGAGAGUCGGACUCAACUGAGCGACUGAACUGACUGAACUGAAUUUAGAGGAUCGGCAAAAAAAGUAAGUAUUUAAAUACUUUUACUAUUCAAGGGCAUUUCCCCAAACUUUUUAUAUCCCUUUAUAAAUGUGUUUUAUGUCUCUAGUAACUUCUUUUUAAUGUUUUUUGUGAUUGGGUACUUUUUAUAAAGAAUGUUGUGAAUAGGUUAUUUUGUAAAUAGGUUAUUGAUACACAUAGCACAAUUCAAAAGAUACAGAGGAGUGUGCAGUGAAAAGCAUAUCUCUUCAGCUCCUACCCUCAGCCACCAGUUCCCCUCCUGAGAGCAGCCCCCUCAGCCCGUUUCGGGGGUGUCCUCACGGAGACAGGCUUGGCUUAUGAGAAGAAAUACACACACAUAGUGUAUUUAAUCACCAUGGUAACAAAUGUAGCCCACGAUCUGGACCAGGUGUUUUCUUAGUAUAUCAACCCAGGCUGCCUCAUUGUUCUGUGUUUCAGAGUAUCCAUUAUAUGUAUAUUAUAAUGUAUUUGCUAAUCCUUUACUGCUGACACUCUGCCUGGUCAUUGGUCCCUGACUCCUGGGGGGAGCUCUAGCCCGGAGUCCAUCUGGUUUGUCUUUUAGGGACCUUCUCAUGACCCCGACAUUGACACCUGGUGGGAGGGGGCUAGCCCUUUUGUGACAGCCAUAUUUUUUUAGUUUACUGUUUUGAGUAAUUAAAUAUUUGAUUAGAAAGAUACUGCUUGAGAAGUCUCGCUCUCAGUUUUGUCCCCCUCUCCUUCGUUUCCCUCUUCAUAGGUCCUCACAAUUAUUCAUUGUUUGUGUAUCCUUUGUCUAUCCUGCCAGUGUUAGAUGCGUAGAGUAGGCUUCCCAGGCAGCACUAGUUGGUAAAGAAGCCCCUGCCAGUUCAGGAGACGUAAGAGAUGCAGUUGGAUCCCUGGGUCAGGAAGAUUGCUUGGAAAGGCGUGGCAACCCACUCCUGUGUUCUUGCCUGGAGAAUCCUGUGGACAGAGGAGCCUGGUGGGCUGCAGUCCAUAGGGUCGCAAAGAGUCAGGCGCGACUAACGCGGCUUGGCACACACAGCACAUGUGCAGGUAUACAUAUUUCUUCUGCCAGGUUAUACGCUUCUCCAUGUUCUGCUAUCACUUAAUAGAUGCUGGCGCGCAUUCGGUAUCAGUGCAUAGUUUCCUAAGUCUUUUUUUUUUUUUUUUUUAAUAGCCACAUUAUAGUAGUGGGCCCGUGUCAGGAGGCCCCAUCGCGUAUGAGCCCUCCGUUGGUGGACAUUUAGGUGGUUCCCAGGAAUUUGCUAUAGUAUAUGGCCUUUCAUCUCUCUUUAUAUUCAGGUUUGGCUGUAUCCACAGAAUAAAGUCCCAAAAUGGACUUGCCAGAUUAGAAGGUUUGUAAUCUUGACCGAUGUGGCCAGAUCACCUUCCACUGGCCUCAAGCCGCUGAGUACAGGGUCACCAGAAGUACGGUCUGAAAAAGUAGUAGCUCUGCGGACUUCCUGUCAUCUGAGCUGGUGAAGCUUAACCGUGGUUUGAAGUAGAGCAAAAUGCCAAAGCGGGGGCCUUCACUCAGGAAGUAGUGAUUGGGUUGUUCGGGGCCUGCCAGGUUCCCUUUCCUGCAGCUCCUCCACUUCCCACCUGCAGGCCGGGCUACACCGAAGGCUUAUCCUGCCCUCCCAGGCUUCAGGGAGAGCUGGCCCCUGGCCACGUUACAUCCCACAGGCUGAGCCGUGGGGAGCUGCUCUGCUUCGGCUGGUUUCCAGAGGCUCGUGUGCAUCUCUGUUUGCAAGUCCAGAGUGACCCAGCGGGGUGGCAGCUGGUGGUUAGCUCCCCACCCCAAAGUCUGUCUGCUUCCCUCCCUCUCCUCUUUCCUUCCUCCCUCCCACCUCCCUCCCGUCCUUCCUUCUUUUGGUGAAAUGCAUGCCAUCUAAAAAGGAAUGCAUGUAAUACGUCUGUGCCAUUUCUAAAAGCAGCAUAAAGGAAUCCCCGUUGCCCACCUCAGGAACAGACGCCACCUUCCCUCGAGGGCACUCUGCGCCCUCCCUGGUGUGAUUCCUGCCGGAAGCAUGUGUACUGUUGGAUCGUUUGGUGUGUUCCAGGUGUUGUCUGUAAGAUCCGCCCAUGGCACGUUCUAGAAGAUUCCCUCAUGCGAACGUGCUGCCUCUGGUUCCUCCAUCCUUGGCACAGGCAUGGGGCUACUGCUCGAGCAGGGCUUCUGGAGUGCGUUUCCAUAGGGCGCGUGACUCAUUGGAGCCGCUGCGUUAGGGUGUGUGUUUUUACUCCACACUUGCCUUCUUCAGAGUGGAUCUGGAUUUAUGUUCCAUCAGCUGUGCUGUAUCCUCACCAGAGCGUGGCAUUUCCAGAUGUUUUAAAUGUUUGUCAGUUUGAUGGUUAUGAAAUGAUAUUUCAGUUGUGAUUUUAACUGCCUUUUAAUGGAUUGCUAAUAAAGUUUUUUUAUGGUUUAUUGGCCAUA